ACAAGUUUGGUCCCAGCUUUGUUAUCAAUUAUUUCUUAACUUACACAUGCAAGUCUCAGCAAUCCCGUGAAAACGCCCUUUCCUCUAUUGAGCUAAGGAGCUGGUAUUAGGCACAGAAUUCUUGCCCAUAACACCUAGUUAUACCACACCUACAAAGGUUCUCAGCAGUGAUAAAAAUUGUUCAUUAGCGUCAGCUUGAAUCAGUUAUAGAAAAGAGAGCUGUCCAACACGGUGCCAGCCGCCGCGGUUAAACCGUUUUAGGGCUCAAAUUGAUAUUAGUCGGCGUUGAGCGUGAUUAGAGAAAAAAGUAAAAUUAGAGUUAAAUUUAAACUUAGCUGCGAAAAGCUUGUCACCGAGAAAAUCAUAAACGAAAGUUACUCUAAUAUACCCAUUGAACACACGACAGUUAGGAUACAAACUGAGAUUAGAUACCCCACUAUGCCUUACCGUAAAAUUUAACCUACAUCAUAAACGCCAGGGUACUACGAGCCUUAGCUUAAAACCCAAAGGACUUGACGGUAUCCCAUUCCGACUAGAGGAGCCUGUUCUACAAUCGAUAAUCCCCGAUAUACCAGACCACUUUUUGCCUAAUUCAGCCUGUAUACCUCCGUCGCAAGUUCACCGUGUGAACGUACAAUAGUAGGCCAAAGGACAAAUUCGCCAUAACGUCAGGUCAAGGUGCAGCUAAUAAAGUGGAAGAAAUGGGCUACACUCUCUAAACUAGAACAAAUGAAACACUACAUGAAACAUAGUCAUGAAGGCGGAUUUAGGAGUAAGUAGAAAAUAGAGAGUUCUACUAAAUAACGGCCAUGGGACACGUACAAACCGCCCGUCACCCUCUUCGACGUCUUUAACAUAGUUUAUAACACAUUAUUACGCCUGAGAAGAGAUAAGUCGUAACAUGGUAAGUAUACUGGAAAGUGUCCUUGGAAAUAA
rnacentral:ncRNA from 1 species